GAUCAUGGCUCAGGACGAACGCUGGCGGCGCGCCUAACACAUGCAAGUCGAACGAGAGAGAGGGAGCUUGCUUCCUUGAUCGAGUGGCGAACGGGUGAGUAACGCGUGAGGAACCUGCCUCAAAGAGGGGGACAACAGUUGGAAACGACUGCUAAUACCGCAUAAGCCCACGACCCGGCAUCGGGAAGAGGGAAAAGGAGCAAUCCGCUUUGAGACGGCCUCGCGUCCGAUUAGCUAGUUGGUG
rnacentral:rRNA from 1 species